AUAAGCGGAGGAAAAGAAACUAACAAGGAUUCCCCUAGUAACGGCGAGCGAACCGGGAAGAGCUCAAAUUUGAAAUCUGGCGUCCCACGGGCGUCCGAGUUGUAAUCUGCAGAGGCGUCUUCCGCCCCGGACCGCGUCCAAGUCCCUUGGAACAGGGUAUCAAAGAGGGUGACAAUCCCGUGCUUGACGCGACCCCCGGUGCUAUGUGAUGCGACCUCAAAGAGUCGAGUUGUUUGGGAAUGCAGCUCAAAACGGGUGGUAAAUUCCAUCUAAGGCUAAAUAUUGGCGAGAGACCGAUUGCGAACAACUACCGUGAGGGAAAGAUGAAAAGCACUUUGGAAAGAGAGUUAAACAGUACGUGAAAUUGUUGGAAGGGAAACGAUUGAAGUCAGUCGUGUCUGAGGGGUUCAGCCGGUCCUGCCGGUGCACUCCCCUCGGACGGGUCAACAUCGGUUCUGUCCGGCGGACAAGGGCAGGGGGAACGUGGCACCCUCGUGGUGUGUUAUAGCCCCCCGUCGCAUACGUCGGUCGGGACCGAGGAUCGCAGCUCGCCCUCACGGGCCGGGGUUCGCCCACGUCCGAGCUUAGGAUGUUGACGUAAUGGCUUUAAACGACCCGUCUUGAAACACG
rnacentral:rRNA from 1 species